CAAUAUUUUAUAUUUUGGUAUGUUGUACAAGUCUUUACAUAUAUUUGAAUGUUUAUUUUGAUUUCGUCGAUAAAAUGAUUCUUUUUGAGCUUUUUUGAGCACACCAAAUUUAUAACCCAUUCUUAUAUGGUAUGAUAGUUUUCAAGUAUUUUUCGAAUAAAAUUCAGAAAUACAAAUUUUAAGGCGAAGAAAUCUGUUUUAAAAAUUAUGCACGUAUAAAAUUUGUGCAUAGCGUACGAUUUACUUGGACGCCAUUUUAAGAAUGUUUAAUUAUGUAUAAUUGAAGAAUGAUUUGAAUCGAUGGUUGUAUACAGAUGCGCGUGGUAAUUCUUUUAAUAAAUCAAGAAAGUAACUCACAUUUACUUCGCUCAGAAAAUUAUACAGUAUUUUUUGAAAAAGCAAUCUUAUUAGUUGCAUAAAAGCAUAAUGUUUUCAAAUUGCCGCUGCUAGUGACACCAUGAGAUCAACGUUUUUAGUGAACGGUCGGCAAAGUCGUUAUCGUUAUAUUAUUGAUCUACAGUGGAACUAAACAGGGCAGCCCCCAACUCUUUAUAGGUUUUUGUAUAUGCCCGCGUGAAACCGCUUCUUGAACUUGACCGCGUGGUGCAACAUCUGUAUUGGAAUUGUGGUGUUUCGGUCAGCGCUUGUUCAAAUGUUGGUUACAAAACAGGCAAUUUCUUUGGAUACGUGUACGACGACUUUCAUGAAACACAAGUUUUUUCUAACAGCAAUGGUUUCCUUUACUGCAAAUAUUUAAACAAUUAACGGUAGGGCCACGAUAUGUUGCAAGCAUGUGACGGCAUAAGAAGAAGAAUGUCGAUCCUCGGUAAUAUCGAUGAAAUAUUCGUGGUCAAGGAGUUGCUUCUGAAAUUUCGGACGAUGUGGAUGUGCUCUGAUGUAAUGACUGUGGUCCAAUCUACAGUCAUAUAUUAGGUUGGCAUCGUUAGGUGGUAAUGACAAAAUCCGCAAUCACUUAGUUGCCAACCCAAUAAAUAUGUCUCCAUACUUAUAUAUUAUACCGAAAGCAUAGAAGAUACCCUCCAAAAACUGAGUCGCGAAAAGUCAACAUGGAAGACAUCGAAGUCCUUGUUCUUGCGGGACAUGCUAUAAAUGUCUCAGACAGAGACUGACACAUUUCACUCAUCUCUGUCUGUCAUGCAAGAACAAGAACUUUGAUAUCAUACAUGUUGAUUUUUCACGAGUUAACUUUCGGACGAUUCUACGUAGCAGGUAUCGAGACUUUAUAAGACCGUCGAUUGGACCACGAUCGUAUACAUACGUCUGGGAACUCCUAUGAAAGGGGAUUUUUUGUGUAACGUUAUCGUGGAAAAAUAACCCAGACCCGGUCGUAUCUGCCCCUUUCUCUCUCCCCCUCCCCUUAAUGCGGCCGUGGACUCGACUCACGGUGGACCGAGUAUCACGGGAGGUGAAAGGAGGAAACAAGAUCACGAUAAUGAUUUUAGAGACAAACUUUUGCCUUAUAUGAUUAUUAUGAUUACCUUACUAAUUACUUUGUAUUUAACUAAUGUCAAAUAAAUGUUAUGUAACAUAAA